rnacentral:rRNA from 1 species
AUGCACGCUGGCGGCGUGCCUCAUACAUGCAAGUCGAGCGAACAGACGAGGAGCUUGCUCCUCUGACGUUAGCGGCGGACGGGUGAGUAACACGUGGAUAACCUACCUAUAAGACUGGGAUAACUUCGGGAAACCGGAGCUAAUACCGGAUAAUAUAUUGAACCGCAUGGUUCAAUAGUGAAAGACGGUUUUGCUGUCACUUAUAGAUGGAUCCGCGCCGCAUUAGCUUGUUGGUAAGGUAACGGCUUACCAAGGCAACGAUGCGUAGCCGACCUGAGAGGGUGAUCGGCCACACUGGAACUGAGACACGGUCCAGACUCCUACGGGAGGCAGCAGUAGGGAAUCUUCCGCAAUGGGCGAAAGCCUGACGGAGCAACGCCGCGUGAGUGAUGAAGGUCUUCGGAUCGUAAAACUCUGUUAUUAGGGAAGAACAAAUGUGUAAGUAACUAUGCACGUCUUGACGGUACCUAAUCAGAAAGCCACGGCUAACUACGUG